ACAGAGGGUGCAAGCGUUAAUCGGAAUUACUGGGCGUAAAGCGUGCGUAGACGGUUGUCUAUGUCGGAUGUGAAAUCCCCGGGCUCAACCUGGGAAUGGCAUUCGAGACUGAACAGCUAGGGUGCGGAGGAGGGAAGCGGAAUUUCCGGUGUAGCGGUGAAGUGCGUAGAUAUCGGAAGGAACAUCAGUGGCGAAGGCGGCUUCCUGGUCCAGCACCGACGUUCAGGCACGAAAGCGUGGGGAGCAAACAGGAUUAGAUACCCUGGUAGUCCACGCCUUAAACGAUGAGGACUAGACGUUGGAAGGGUUAGCCUUUCAGUGUCGCAGCUAACGCGAUAAGUCCUCCGCCUGGGGAGUACGGCCGCAAGGUUG
rnacentral:rRNA from 1 species